rnacentral:tRNA from 1 species
GCGUAGCUCAGUGGUAGAGCAAUCGGCUGUUAACCGAUUGGUCGCUGGUUCGAGCCCAGCAG